UUGACGGAACCGCACAAGCGGUGGAGCAUGUGGUUUAAUUCGAAGCAACGCGAAGAACCUUACCAGGUCUUGACAUCCCUGACAACCCAAGAGAUUGGGCGUUCCCCUUCGGGGGACAGGGUGACAGGUGGUGCAUGGUUGUCGUCAGCUCGUGUCGUGAGAUGUUGGGUUAAGUCCCGCAACGAGCGCAACCCUCGCCUCUAGUUGCCAGCAUUCGGUUGGGCACUCUAGAGGGACUGCCGGCGACAAGUCGGAGGAAGGUGGGGAUGACGUCAAAUCAUCAUGCCCCUUAUGACCUGGGCUACACACGUGCUACAAUGGGCGGUACAAAGGGUUGCCAAGCCGCGAGGUGGAGCUAAUCCCAUAAAACCGAUCGUAGUCCGGAUCGCAGUCUGCAACUCGACUGCGUGAAGUCGGAAUCGCUAGUAAUCGUGAAUCAGAAUGUCACGGUGAAUACGUUCCCGGGCCUU
rnacentral:rRNA from 1 species